rnacentral:rRNA from 1 species
AUGAACGCUGGCGGCGUGCUUAACACAUGCAAGUCGAACGAACCUUCGGGUUAGUGGCGGACGGGUGAGUAACGCGUGGGAAUCUGCCCUCAGGAGGGGGAUAACGGCCGGAAACGGCCGCUAAUACCCCAUAUGCCGAGAGGUGAAAUGAAUUUCGCCUGAGGAUGAGCCCGCGUCUGAUUAGCUAGUUGGUGUGGUAAUGGCGCACCAAGGCGACGAUCAGUAGCUGGUCUGAGAGGAUGAUCAGCCACACUGGGACUGAGACACGGCCCAGACUCCUACGGGAGGCAGCAGUGGGGAAUUUUCCGCAAUGGGCGAAAGCCUGACGGAGCAACGCCGCGUGAGGGAUGAAGGCCUCUGGGCUGUAAACCUCUUUUCUCAAGGAAGAAGACAUGACGGUACUUGAGGAAUAAGCCACGGCUAAUUCCGUGCCAGCAGCCGCGGUAAUACGGGAGUGGCAAGCGUUAUCCGGAAUUAUUGGGCGUAAAGCGUCCGCAGGCGGCCUUGUAAGUCUGUCGUUAAAGCGUGGAGCUUAACUCCAUUUCAGCGAUGGAAACUACAAGGCUUGAGUGUGGUAGGGGCAGAGGGAAUUCCCGGUGUAGCGGUGAAAUGCGUAGAUAUCGGGAAGAACACCAGUGGCGAAGGCGCUCUGCUGGGCCAUAACUGACGCUCAUGGACGAAAGCCAGGGGAGCGAAAGGGAUUAGAUACCCCUGUAGUCCUGGCCGUAAACGAUGAACACUAGGUGUCGGGGGAAUCGACCCCCUCGGUGUCGUAGCUAACGCGUUAAGUGUUCCGCCUGGGGAGUACGCACGCAAGUGUGAAACUCAAAGGAAUUGACGGGGGCCCGCACAAGCGGUGGAGUAUGUGGUUUAAUUCGAUGCAACGCGAAGAACCUUACCAGGGUUUGACAUCCUGCGAAUCCCUUGGAAACGAGGGAGUGCCUUCGGGAGCGCAGAGACAGGUGGUGCAUGGCUGUCGUCAGCUCGUGUCGUGAGAUGUUGGGUUAAGUCCCGCAACGAGCGCAACCCACGUCUUUAGUUGCCAGCAUUCAGUUGGGCACUCUAGAGAGACCGCCGGUGAUAAACCGGAGGAAGGUGUGGAUGACGUCAAGUCAUCAUGCCCCUUACAUCCUGGGCUACACACGUACUACAAUGCUACGGACAAAGGGUUGCAAGCUCGCGAGAGUUAGCUAAUCCCAUAAACCGUGGCUCAGUUCAGAUCGUAGGCUGCAACUCGCCUACGUGAAGGAGGAAUCGCUAGUAAUCGCAGGUCAGCAUACUGCGGUGAAUACGUUCCCGGGCCUUGUACACACCGCCCGUCACACCAUGGAAGUUGGCCAUGCCCGAAGUCGUUACUCCAACCCUUGUGGAGGAGGACGCCGAAGGUGGGGCUGAUGACUGGGGUGAAGUCGUAACAAGGUAGCCGUACCGGAAGGUGCGGCUGGAUCACCUCCUA